GACGAACGCUGGCGGCGUGCUUAACACAUGCAAGUCGAGCGAGACCUUCGGGUCUAGCGGCGGACGGGUGAGUAACGCGUGGGAAUAUGCCCUUUGGUACGGAAUAGCCUCGGGAAACUGAGAGUAAUACCGUAUGUGCCCUUCGGGGGAAAGAUUUAUCGCCAAAGGAUUAGCCCGCGUUGGAUUAGGUAGUUGGUGGGGUAAUGGCCUACCAAGCCUACGAUCCAUAGCUGGUUUGAGAGGAUGAUCAGCCACACUGGGACUGAGACACGGCCCAGACUCCUACGGGAGGCAGCAGUGGGGAAUCUUAGACAAUGGGGGCAACCCUGAUCUAGCCAUGCCGCGUGAGUGAUGAAGGCCUUAGGGUUGUAAAGCUCUUUCAGCUGGGAAGAUAAUGACGGUACCAGCAGAAGAAGCCCCGGCUAACUCCGUGCCAGCAGCCGCCGUAA
rnacentral:rRNA from 1 species